AGUUGUGGCGCAUGGGCUUAGUUGCUCUGCAGCAUGUGGGAUCUUCCCGGACCAGGGCUCGAACCUGUGUCCCCUGCAUUGGCAGGCGAAUUCUUAACCACUGUGCCACCAGGGAAGCCCCUGUCGCCUCUGAUCUUAAUUGCUUGAAUUGUGCUGUCUAGACUUAGCAAUGCAUCAUAGUAUCAGAUCAACAAAAGACUAGACUGAGUGUUUCAGUCAACUGGGUGUAACUGUCACACUCUACAGUCUCCGGACACUCCCCCCACGGUUCAGCAAUCAAGGCCAGGAUCGGUCAGGGUACUUGCGACUUUUCCUUAGUUUUACUACAUUUUAGCCUCUCUUAAUGGGAGAAUUGCAGCCGUGCUCUCUUUCAACUGAGUUAAUACUUUGCUAUGGAAUUAAAGCAACUUUUGGAGAUAAAAACUAGGUGCUGACUUGAUGCUAGUCAUAGUGAAUGUCCAACUCUUCUUAAAGGAUGUGGCUGUGUUUGUUCUCUAGGGUUGCCAUAACAAAUUACCACAAAUUGGGUGGCUUAGAACAACGGAAUUGUAUUCCCUCACUGUUCUGAGGCCAGAAGUCUGAAGUCAAGGUGUGGGAAGGUCAUGUUUCCUCUGAAGGCUCCAGAGAAGAAUCUUUCCUUGCCUCUUCCCAGCUUCUGGAGAUUCCCAUCAAUCCUCAGCGUUCCUUGGCUUGUAGCACAUCACUUCAGUCUCCGCCUCUGUCAUCACAUGGCUCUUCUCCCUCUGUCUCCCCUGUGUAUCUCUGUGUCUCUGUCUUUAAAUUUUUUCUCUUCUUCUGAGGACUGAAAGCCCACUGUGACCUCAUCUGAACUAUAUUACAUCUGCAGACUGUUUCCAAGCAAGAUCACAUUGACAGGUACAAAAGCAUCGGAGGCAGUUCAGAUGAACCAGAGGAGACGUGCCAGUGAUAAAGGUUCUAAGCAGCGUGAGGAAAUCUCAUCCCGUCCCGCCUGGGAUCCGCAACCUUCGCCAUCAUCCUGGCUCCCUGGUCCAGCUUCACCUGAAGCAGAUGGUCCUUAUGACUUCUCAUCAGAAGGUCAGCAGUAGCCUAACACUAGGUCACAAUGCCGACGUCAUUCACUCACUUCACCUCAACGUGCAGGCAUUUUAUCCUCUCACAUCAGCACAGGAAGGCUGAGUACAGUACGAUAAGAUAUUUCGUAUCUUUUGUACAUAACUUUUAUUACUGUUUAUUGUUAUAAUUAUUCUAUUAUGUCAUUAGCUAUUGUUGUUUAUCUUCAUCCGCCUAAUUUAUAAGUUAAACUUUAUCAUAGGUAUGUAUUUAUAGGAAAAAACAUAGUAGAUAUAGGGUUCAGUACUAUCCAUGGUUUCAGGCAUCCGUUGGGGGUCUUGGAAUGUAUCCCUUGAGGAUCAGAGGGGACGACUGUACAUUGAGACCCAAGAGCAUCCUUUUAUAUUAAACUAUGUUACUAUGUUAGAGUGAUAUAUGCCAUACAUUGUAUAUACUAACGUAGUGAUUGCCCGCAGGAGUGAAAUGACUUGAUUCUAUCUAGCAGAGCUGCAAACCCUUUCAAUUAUAGUAAUGAAAUAUGACGUGUUGUAAUGUAAUCAUGCCUAGGAGGAGACAAGGAUAUGAAUUUUGAGGUCUCUUAAGGAUCAUAUUACUUUAUAAUUCUUAUAUUUACCUGUCCCUAGCUCAGGGAGCUUUACUUGGCAGCCUGUUAUAAAUGAAGAUCUUGAGCCCCAUCCCAAACCUACUGAAUCAGAAUCUGCAUUUUAAGCAAACUGUUAUAUAGAGAAUGGAGAAACAACAAGGUCCUACUGUACAGCACAGGGAACCACAGUCAAUAUCCCGUGAUAAACCAUAAUGGAAAAGAAUAUAUAGUUACGUAUCACUGAAUCACUUUGCUGUACAGCAGAAAUUAACACAACAUUGUGAAUCAACUGUACUUCAAUACAUUUUAAAAAAUAAAAAUUUUAAAAAAGAAUCUGCAUUUUAACAAGAUCCUCAAGUGAUCUGAAGGCACAUUAAAUUUUGAGAAGCACUGAUGACGACUAUACCUGAGAGAUGACUAAAUUCCUACACUUUUUCUUCAAUAGUUUUUGUUUUUUUUAGCUGCUCUUUAUACCUUCGUCAAGAGAUAUGAGGCCCCUGACUAAUAAAAAUGCUUUUACUGAUUACUUUGGGUGAAAACCUCAUUAAAUCAGGCAAAUGUUCUAGAAGAGCCUGUAAACAGAUUUUCAUAAUGGAGAGCACAGUGGAUUAGAAAAACCAGCCCCUGUCAACACCACAGACUUGCCAGGAGAGCUCAGUGGGAACAAGAGGGCCCCUGUGUUGCACUGAAGCAAAUCAGAAGUGUCUAGUGUGCCAGAGAAAAUUCAUGUUUUUCCCGCACCAGCUCUGACAUGUUCACACAUGAAUGUAUUUCAUUCAGAAAAAGUCAGAGCUCUAGAAUGGCACAGUCUGGCUCUAUGAGAAACAGAUGUGUCAUGGUUCACCCACCCCCUGACCACCUGUGGUUUGCCCAUGACUAAACUCUCUUGAAUAAAAUGGAGUUAACUCCUGGAUCUAGAACAAAUUCUAAAUUACGGAUUUAUUUCCUUCCUCCUCAUAUUUCUCCUCCUUGCUCAUUGCCAUGACAGAACCUUACAAUUCAGAGAAGUUUGAAUGAACUACAAAAGGAAUUCUCAGUGCUCCAAAGCAUUUUCUUUCAAAGGCAGGUCCUGGCUCUGACAUUUAGGUUGAGGUUUUGUGAAAAGUUCAAACAGAAUACCAACUUCUCCAGCCAAUUAGAGAGACUGAUUUUUGUUUAUACUUUAAAGCCACCUGGUUGUGAGGUGUUUUCACUUUCUGCUUAUUUUUGUAGUCGAGGGUAGGCAUUAUUCUCAUUCAGAAAUAUGCUUGGGAUGCCAUUGGUCAUUCACUUAAUCUUCAGCUGCCCCCGUUCACGGAAUCGUGUGGACAAAUUAAAACCAUUAAUAUUCCGCAAACUUUAGUCCCUGCAGUUAAAACUCGCCCUCAGCCACUUCCUCCAGCUGCUUACAAGUAGCCAAAAGGAAGGAUUUGGACGUCAUUAAGAUUUAUUUCUCCUGCCAUGCUCUGCUUUCCAUUCCACAGAAAAUGGGCAGGGAAAUGGUCCCAGCAUAGGUAGGUGGAUGGAAAAAUACAAGGCACAAAAGCCCACGCAGAGAAUAAUCAAGCCCUCAAGAGUCACUGACAGUUUUUCAAAAUAUUUUCAUUUCCAUUUAUGUAAUCAACUUAGGGUUGUUUUGACAUACCAUUGAGGCCUUUGGUUUUUCUUUUUAUAGAAUAUUUCUUUAUUUGUUUCUUCAGAAAGCAUUAUCUAAUUAAAAGCAAACAUAUAACUUAAUAUAGCCUGUCAAGGAAGUACUCGCCAUUCAUGGUCCAGUUAUAAUUACAAUGACAAUACUAUCUAAAAAAACAAGGCCUUUUUUAAAACCCAUAAUUACUUCAUUACUUAUAAUUUUUAAAUUGAAAUGCAAAUAACAUGGAAUUUAAAUUCCAUAAAACCUUGGUCUGUAUAUCUUGCUAUCAAAAUGCUCUUCAGAAUAACACACGGCAAAUUCUACAUGCUUUUUAUAAAUGGGGAAACUUAAGUGACAAAGAAGGAAAUAACCUGGCCUCGAUGUGAGUCAUUCGCAAACGUUGGAAAGAAACUCCCAAAUGCAUCUCCUAAAAGAGUGUUUUGUGGGUUCACACGCACUCCGUAUAUCCAGAGUGAAAGAAUGCCCCUGGAAAUAAAUAAUCUAUGAAGUCUGAUGAUUAAGUAUUAAUUAUUUAAUAAUAAAGACUUACUAGAAACCAAGUGCAGUGUCAUUUUAGAUUUAGUUUUCAAAGGAGAAAAUAUUCCAUUUCAACACACAGGUUUGGAAACAGUACAACUUAAAGUUUACUCAGGUCAGAUAACCCUCAGUGAAUUAUCAAUGUACUUUGGGAAUAUUUUAUGAACAAUAAAACCAGAUGAUGGCAGAGUUUGGUCACAGGCUGAGCUAUAGAAAAGUAAGGAGCUUUUUUUUUUUUUCAGUUGAAGUGAUUUUUCAUAUUGCCACAGUACGGUGCUUUCUAAGUCCACUUGGUUAAAAAAGCCACAACACCGAUAAUUCAGAAUGUAAAGCCACCCUAUGAUCAAGUAUACAUCUGAUACAUUAAAAUCACUGAAUUUGAAAUUUAAAAGCUCUGAAUUAAAUAGAUACAUAGUUCUUAAAAGCCUGAUCCACUGGUCACACUUAUACUGAUCUUGUAUCUUGUAAGCAAAGCGGCAAUGAUGCCAAGUGUAACGUGCCCGAGAUCAGUCCUUUCACCUGAUUAUAAUGUCCUAAAACAGACUGUACUGUUAACAUCCUCACACUUCCAUCCCUUCAACAUGUAUUUAGUGACUUUCACCACUUUGUGUCACUCAGAAAUGUACACCUUCAGAGUAUGCCGGUUGACCAAAGAUAUUAUUCUAGAUGUUCACUUGGACAGAGCUGGCAGUGAGUGCUAAAAAAUGGCUGACACGUUGCUCCUACCAUUAAGAAACCUACCAUUUGGCUCAAUAAAAAACCUGUCCAAAAUUAGCUUUAAUACAAGAAGGACUAUCCAAGGCAGUGGUGGGGGAGGGAAAGGCAUAGACGAGGAGUAAGAAACAACAUUUGAACUGGAUCUUAAGGGAUGGACAGUGCUUUUGAUAGAAAUGUUGGAAGACAAUUCCAAGGAGUGGGUCCAUGUGAGCCAAGGCACAGACUCAGGAAAGUCCAGGAUGCAUUCAGGUAAUGAAUCAUCUGGUAGGAUUUGGGCUCAGAGUGGAAAAGGGGACUAGAAAAUAUGGAUGAAAAUGUAGGUUGAAGCCAGAUCUGAGACAGCUUAACAACACGCUAUGGAGUGAAGACUCUUCCUGUUGGUAAUGGGGGACCACGAAAGUAUGUUUGGUGAGUUUUUCUGUCAUCAAAUCAUAUUCACAUUGAUUAUAACAAGGAUAAAUGUAGAGAAAAUAUGCAUACUUGGAGUACAAAAUCAUCAAAUAGCUUGGAUCACUUGAAGUUACCAAUUUUGAAAAUCAGUAAUUGUCAAAUAUCAUUAGUUUUCACCUUAAUAAAUUCAUCCUUGAAUCAGAAAUGUGUAUUUUGUCUUUAACUUGUUUUAUGAAAAGACGUUCUUAAAAUGUAAUGUAAUUAAGAUUGAGUGAGGCAUCACUGUGCUUUAGUGAAAAGCACUGGAUUGAUUCUACACUUUUUUGACCACCUUCUAUGUCCUAAGCACACAUAUUACAUACUUCUAUUCGUUACCUGGUGCUAGAUUCCUAUAAAGGAUUAAUUAUGGUCAGAAUGUUUAUUAAGUUUCCCCAGAUCAUUAGCAAGUAAGUGAUAGUGUUCGAUUUCAGGGUUACAUCUUUUGCUUUUUGUUUGUUUGGGACUUGGGCUUUGAUUUUUGCUGCAUACGGGGGCUAAGCUAUUUCUGCAGCAUGGCCAGCGAUUCCUUAGUGAAAAAUCGUAGGUGUGUUGAGCGAAUGUCCUGGAUUAGACACAGAAUCAGGUCCUAGGUGAACAGCGGUCACCAAGAAAGACAUUGUCCUUUUACUUGUGGAGUUUAUAUUUGAGUUGGGAAACAGAUUUUAAAUUAUUUGUACUGGGAGACAGAUUUUUAAAAAAACACUAAUUACAAACUAAUUGCUUCUCUCAAAUCAAGCUGUGUGCUACAAUUCAGAGUACAGGUGAGUAUAAAGUGCAUAAGAGGAGGAUCUUGAUGCCAGGGCAGGAAGAAUGGCCUCGGGCGUUUAAGCUAAGACCUGAGGAUGAGUAGGCGUUAACAAGUAAAAAAGAUAAGAGGAUUUUAGGCAAAGAAAAUAGCUUUUCCCUAUUUUUGCUUUCUUCAAAAAGUAGCUCUGGGCUUCCCUGGUGGCGCAGUGGUUGAGAGUCCGCCUGCCGAUGCAGGG